rnacentral:rRNA from 1 species
AUACGGAGGGUGCAAGCGUUGUUCGGAAUCACUGGGCGUAAAGGGCGCGCAGGUGGUUUUACAAGUCAGAUGUGAAAGCCCACGGCUCAACCGUGGAAGUGCAUUUGAAACUGUAAGACUUGAGUAUCAGAGGGGAAGGUGGAAUUCCCGGUGUAGAGGUGAAAUUCGUAGAUAUCGGGAGGAAUACCGGUGGCGAAGGCGACUUUCUGGCUGAAUACUGACGCUGAGGCGCGAAAGCGUGGGGAGCAAACAGGAUUAGAAACCCUUGUAGUCC